rnacentral:rRNA from 1 species
CCAGCUUCAUAGAGUCGAGUUGCAGACUCCAAUCCGAACUGAGACCGGCUUUCGAGAUUUGCAUCACUUCGCAGUGUAGCUGCCCUCUGUACCGGCCAUUGUAUUACGUGUGUGGCCCAAGGCGUAAGGGCCGUGAUGAUUUGACGUCAUCCCCACCUUCCUCUCUACUUGCGUAGGCAGUCUCACUAGAGUCCCCAACUUAAUGAUGGCAACUAGUGACAGGGGUUGCGCUCGUUGCAGGACUUAACCUAACACCUCACGGCACGAGCUGACGACAACCAUGCAGCACCUUGAAAAAUGUCCGAAGAAAAGUCUAUUUCUAAACCUGUCAUUUCCCAUUUAAGCCUUGGUAAGGUUCCUCGCGUAUCAUCGAAUUAAACCACAUAAUCCACCGCUUGUGCGGGCCCCCGUCAAUUCCUUUGAGUUUCAAACUUGCGUUCGUACUCCCCAGGUGGCUAACUUAUCACUUUCGCUUAGUCUCUGAACUUACAUUCCAAAAACGAGUUAGCAUCGUUUACGGCGUGGACUACCAGGGUAUCUAAUCCUGUUCGCUCCCCACGCUUUCGUCCAUCAGCGUCAGUUGUUGCUUAGUAACCUGCCUUCGCAAUUGGUGUUCUAAGUAAUAUCUAUGCAUUUCACCGCUACACUACUUAUUCCAGCUACUUCAACAACACUCAAGACCUGCAGUAUCAAUGGCAGUUUCACAGUUAAGCUGUGAGAUUUCACCACUGACUUACAGAUCCGCCUACGGACCCUUUAAACCCAAUAAAUCCGGAUAACGCUUGCACCCUCCGUAUUACCGCGGCUGCUGGCACGGAGUUAGCCGGUGCUUAUUCGUAUAGUACCUUCAGCUACCCUCACGAGGGUAGGUUUAUCCCUAUACAAAAGAAGUUUACAACCCAUAGGGCCGUCGUCCUUCACGCGGGAUGGCUGGAUCAGGCUCUCACCCAUUGUCCAAUAUUCCUCACUGCUGCCUCCCGUAGGAGUCUGGUCCGUGUCUCAGUACCAGUGUGGGGGAUCACCCUCUCAGGCCCCCUAAAGAUCGCAGACUUGGUGAGCCGUUACCUCACCAACUAUCUAAUCUUGCGCGUGCCCAUCUCUAUCCACCGGAGUUUUCAAUACCGAAUGAUGCCAUUCAGUAUAUUAUGGGGUAUUAAUCUUCCUUUCGAAAGGCUAUCCCCCAGAUAAAGGCAGGUUGCACAC